UACGGAGGGUGCGAGCGUUAAUCGGAAUUACUGGGCGUAAAGGGUGCGUAGGUUGUUAGAUAAGUUGACUGUGAAAGUCCUGGGCUCAACCCUAGAACUGCAUUCAAUACUGCCUUGCUGGAGUACUGGAGAGGAGAUUGGAAUUUACGGUGUAGCAGUGAAAUGCGUAGAUAUCGUAAGGAAGACCGGUGGCGAAGGCGGAUCUCUGGACAGUUACUGACACUGAGGCACGAAGGCCAGGGGAGCAAACGGG
rnacentral:rRNA from 1 species